CCCGGUGGGAUCCAGGGCGUCGGGAGAGAGAGAGAGAGAGAGAGAGAGAGAGCCGGCGGCAGCUGUACGCGCUCCUCGACCUCAUCCUCUUCGGGCCGGCUACCUCAAAUGGUCCUCCGGCGGCGGUGUAGAUCUCCGGAACCCGAUCGCGUGGCUCCAGCCUCGAAUGAAGUUAACCUGUUCGUUGACCAUAGCGAGGGGUGGUCCGCCUACCUACCGGAUGAUGUCGUUCGGCACCCACGACCAGGUGGUGGAUGAUGGCUUCGACGAGCGGAACCUUCCAGGUGGGCUUGUCUCUGCAAGGUAGAUGUUCCUCUUGUUAAGUGAUGCACCCUGUUCAGUCUCCAAUCCUUGAAGAACCUGACAUUUCAAGAUCGCUAGAGCAUCAAUGGAUCGAUAGAUACAAUAUACUAUCUGGAAGCAUCUUCUCUAUGAUGAGAAUCCAAAGAAAGUGAAGCUUGUUCAAGGUGUAAAGAACAAGUAGCCAUUGCAGAGGGUAUCCUGAGAGAGCCAGAUGAGACUGGGGGAGGAGUGAAAGAGGUGGACACUCCUGCAUGGGAAAAGCCUUCCGUAGAAGG